rnacentral:rRNA from 1 species
UGGGGAAUUUUGGACAAUGGGCGAAAGCCUGAUCCAGCAAUGCCGCGUGUGUGAAGAAGGCCUUCGGGUUGUAAAGCACUUUUGUCCGGAAAGAAAUCCUUGGCUCUAAUACAGUCGGGGGAUGACGGUACCGGAAGAAUAAGCACCGGCUAACUACGUGCCAGCAGCCGCGGUAAUACGUAGGGUGCAAGCGUUAAUCGGAAUUACUGGGCGUAAAGCGUGCGCAGGCGGUUUGCUAAGACCGAUGUGAAAUCCCCGGGCUCAACCUGGGAACUGCAUUGGUGACUGGCAGGCUAGAGUAUGGCAGAGGGGGGUAGAAUUCCACGUGUAGCAGUGAAAUGCGUAGAGAUGUGGAGGAAUACCGAUGGCGAAGGCAGCCCCCUGGGCCAAAUACUGACGCUCAUGCACGAAAGCGUGGGGAGCAAACAGGAUUAGAUACCCUGGUAGUCCACGCCCUAAACGAUGUCAACUAGUUGUUGGGGAUUCAUUUCCUUAGUAACGUAGCUAACGCGUGAAGUUGACCGCCUGGGGAGU